CUGAGGUCUCUUGCGCAUGCGCGGUCUGCAGCCUGAGGAUACGCUUUUUGUGUCGAAAGCGAAAGUAAAGCCUCAAUACUUACCGAAUGUAAAUUCACAUUUCGAAGACAUAAAAACUGCCAGAAAAAAUCAUAUUACGGUGUGAAGUCAGUUUGUCAUUAUGGAGAACAGAGAGAGCGGAGAGAGAUCUUCAUCUCCUGAUCACAGCUGUGUGUCUCUGAAGAGUGACGAAUCCAUGGGUUCUCGUCCUUUAUUCAGUAAUGAUCCAGUGACCUCUGACCACAGGAUCUUCAAAAAAAGACGAAGCGACAGAGAUCUUCAUCACCAGAAACCCAGCUGUUUGGUCUAUGAAGAGUGCAAGAUCCAUGCCUCAUCCUCCUCUUCAAUUUAGUAAUGAACCAGUGACCUCUGACCCCAGAGUGUUUUUAAAGAAGGUCAGACUGGAGACCUGCAGCAGGAUUCUCCUGAACCACAAGAUGAUGUUCUUCAGAGAGUCAAAGAGCAGCUCAAAACCAGCAUGAAGAACAAGUACGAGAGAUUAUUUGAGGGACUGAAACUCCAGGGAGAAUGAAAGCCUCCUGAAACAGCAUCUACACACAGCUCUACAUCAUAGAG